rnacentral:lncRNA from 1 species
AAAUAAUUAACUUUCUGAUUUAAUAUAAGUUUAAUAAAUAUUUAUUUCUGAAAAAUAAGUUUCUUCACUCACUUAAGACAAGCUAUAGGUUAUGAAGGUCAAUAAGUGUUUUCUAUUUUUUCGUCAUCACCUGAAAUUCAUUAAAAAAAGUGACCAAUUUUAAUCACUACCAAAUUCAAGAAACCCUUAAUAUCUAAUGAUGGAAUAUUUAAACUAAGUUUCUCGAUACUUGAAUAAAUUCCCCAAAUUUUUCUUUAAUAAAUUGAAGCUAAUUUUACUUUCUAAUAUUUUCACAAGUAUAUACUAUAUCCAAAUUUACCUUCAUCCCAAUAAUAAAAAUAAUUACACCUUCUAAUCUAGUGAAAACUAAUAACCAUAAUUCAACCAAAUUAACUUACAUCUUUUUUCUUAAAUUCACCCUUUCAUGUGAGUAAUUCGAUCAACAUAAUCAUUUCUAGAAAAUUCUAGAAUUUGCUCAAUAGAUAUUACUUACCUUGAUGUAAAUAUCAUUCACAACUCGAAAAGAUUGGCUUAAAAUCAUGGUCCUUCUACUUAGUCUUAAAAUUACACCAACCAAUUAAAACCUAGAUAUUUAUCAUAAAUAAUACCAUAAGACAUCUUCUUCUUUACCUCCUCAAGAGUUGAAGAAUUUAAACUCAAGCUUUUCUUCCUUUCUUUUCUCCUUUACUUUCUUCUUUUCUUCCUCCUUUUUUUUCCACCGUUUCUUACUUCCCACUGUUUCUCUACCUCUAUUGUGUGAAAUGGGUUCAAUUAGUGCUAUUUAGUGGAGCACUAAGCCACAAUUUACAACGAAGUCCUUCAAAAUAAUUUAUUUCACUUAUGCCCCUAUUUGACUUUUACUAGUCGAAUCUUUGACUUUGAAAUAAAAGCUUGACUUUUGACUAGUAUAAAAUGAGGUGUGACAGGUAAUCUAUCUAUGGAAGGUUAAAAAUUAAGAUUGUCAAUACAAAUCAUUCAACUGUAAAAUAAGCAAAGCAUUAUUAUGUGCUAAUGAAGCAGUGGAAAUAGUUAGCAUUGCAGAGCAACACUAGAAGACUAAAUUGUGUUUUGCAUGAAGCAUAUUCCUUCUCAAACUUGGUUUGCAUAGAUUGGAUUUUAUUGUAAAAUACACCUCAAACGAGUCAAUAACAAAUAUUGUUGGAUGAGAAGUAAAAUCAAACUGAAAGAGAGAUGCUAAAACCUUACAAAUGAGGAAAUAGGUUUAAGCAAGCAAUUGUUUAUUACCCAGGAAAAGAUUUUAUGCUCAAAUUACAUUUUCUGAUUAUUGCAUCACAAAGCAAAUGUGCUUCAACAUGUCCCCUCUAACUUUUAGUCUUCAACAUGUUCAGUCACAAAUAGUCUUAUGUAUCUACAAAGCAGCCUGCCUGUAACAGGUAGCAGCUGCCUCUGUAGCAUUCAGCUGCAAUUGCAGGUAGCUAAGCGGCUCAUGUUCACAGGCCGAAAUGGCCCGUGCACAGGCAGUUUUGGGCAACCAUACGGGACCGACCCAUGGGGCCUGCUCAAGCUUGAGCCGAUGCUCAAAAAUAGGAUUGAUCCAAGUCGCGACUCAGUCCCAUCGAGCAUCUAGUUGAACCAGUUCGGGCUUUUCCUAGGCUCACUUAGCCAACGAACCAAAUUGAAAUCCCUACAUUCAUCAAUGCUACUUAUUAUUAUAUACACAUUUUGUGGAAUCUACUACUAAUGUUCUUACUAUUCCUAUUUAUUAAUCGUUUAUAAAUUUCCCAAAUGGAAGCUAAAUAGUGAACCGUUCAUUCAAGCCAUUUGCUGGUGGCCUUUCAUUUGAAACAUUUGUAAUAAGAUGUAAUUUCAAAUUUGCAUACAUCGCUCGCAUAAGAACAAGUGACUACUUGGAUCGUGAGCAAAUUUGCUAGAAGUUUGAAUGAAGAUCCCAAGUUAUGUGUUGAGAAAUGAUUCUCUCACCAUUAAUCAGACGUAGCAAUAAUAAAAUUAAAAGGUAAUAUUGUCGAUUUUAUCUCAAAAGGCAACAAAUCAUUAUGAAUAAUUUGUUGGAUAGUAUUGGAUCUUCUCAACCCCAAAAGCUAGCUCAAGAAAUGAAGCUUUCCAUCACAUUUAUAAACUGACCACAGCCCAUUCCACAACUAAUGUGAGACAACAUCAACAAUUUUUCCAUCACAUAUCAGGCCUUGUGAGAGAUCCCUGAGGGAGACAAAACCCGUCUCCCCCUCACACAAACUUGCAUCUUCUCGUGAUUAUUGGGCCUGAGAUUUAUUGAUAACCUCGGCUGUGAUAUUAGUGUUGGGUGAUAUUAGGCCUUUUCAACUCUAAAAGCUAGUUCAAGAGGCGAUGCUUUCUUUCAUACUUAUAAAUUGAACACUGGCAUCUUCCACAAUCGAUGUGGGACAACCUCAACUAACUAAAGAUGAAUAGAAUAUUCUUCACAUGAUAACUGAUUAUCUACGUAUUUGCCUAAAUUAGAACUAGUUCUUAUUUAAAAACACACAGAUAUUUGGAUUUAUUUUAGAACUAUAUGUGGAAAUCUUCUAAAAUAAGAAAUUAAGAAGAAGCACGUAAAUUCUUGAGAUUAGUCAAAUCAAGAAAGGAAGUAGGAUCCCAAGUCCACCCUUAUUAGCAUACUUUAAUCUCAAUUACGCUUAAUAAUUCUUAGAUUAUAUUGACAAUUGAAGUUCUUUAUAUUUGUAACUUUUCUCUCAAGGUAAAUUAAUCUAAUUCUUAUCUAUAUGAUUCAACGAUAUCUCUAUGAUGGAUGUUGAUAUAAAAAAUGCACUCAAAAAAAUAAAUAAAUAAAUAAAUAAAAUAAAAUAAAGAGAGAAACCUAGAUUAUUUGGUGGUAUUAAGUAUGGUAAGCCACUGACUAGCUCACAUUACACCACUAGUGAGGUGAGCAUUGGGUUUUAGCUGAGAAGGUUAUUCAAGUUGCUCGUCGGUUCGUGCUCAGGCUUACCUCGCGAGCCGGUACGCUCACUUAGCUAAGUAGUCUACAAAUUUCAUCAUAUUCUCUUUCGACACUAAGUACAAUCUCUCUAAUAAAUCACUCUCAGCCUGGGACGGACACAGUUUUUUAGUUAGGAGGGCACAAUCAAACCUUGUACAAAUCGAAUACUUUGCUCUUAAUUUUUGAAUGAUUUAUAAUUGACUCGAGAAAAUGCAAAUUUAUAUUUAAAAAAUAUUUCUUCAUUAAUAUUUUGCUUAUUAUUUUCAUCCAUUUGAUUUCGAACAGUCAUUUUAUUUGCUCAUCACAAGAAAAUGUAUAUUUAUGUUUAAAAAAUUUAUAGUGUGUUUAAUACAAGCAAUCAAUUCAAGUGAUCGAAAGGAAAAUCAUAUAACCAAUAUUUAAUCAAAUAAAUAUAAUUCGUAAAUAUAAGUUAAAUGGAUAUAAUUAGUUCAAACAUAUUCUAUGUACACAAAUAUGAUAGGAGAAAAUGCAAAUUUAGGAUCUAAUUAAUUAAAAAUUUGAUUGAAAAGUGAAAAAUUGUAGUAUAUGUGAUAAUUUGUAGAAAAAUUAUAGACAAAUUUUAAAAAAUUAGAAGGGUUAAAGUUUUGAUAAAAGGUAUGAGGGAGAGUGUAAAAUAAAGUAAGAGAAGAGAGAAAAUUCAAAUUUAUUGUGAUUUUGCCCCUGUUUGGUAGAGAUUAAAAUUAGAUUUUUAAUAUAUUUUGACAAAAUUCAAAAAGUUAGGAUUCCAUGAAAUAUGUUUUUAAAUAAUUAUUGGCUUUGAUUUAGAUUAAAAUUUAGAUUUCAAUAGAUACUAAACAAGACUUAUCCCCCCCACCCCCAAAAAAAAAAAAAAAAAAAAAAAAAAAGGAGGUUGAGGGAUUACGUGACCCCUCCGGGUCUGCCCAUGCUCUUUGUUAUAUAAUUGUACAACUAUCACACUCUUAAUUAUUUAUAGCAUUUUUUCCUAGAUUUAAUAAUUUAUAUCUAGUCGGUAUUAUAUACCGGUUCGAUAAUGACUUUCACUAUCUAAUCUCUGCUUCUAUUUUUCUUGUUGCAUUAUUAUAUGUAAUUUACCUAAUACUUAGCUUAUCAUCAUCAUCUUGGAAUGAAAACAAUUUGUUCUGUUUCUGGUUAAAUUUUUUAAUGAUCGGACGAAAAGGCUAAUUGUGUUACGGCAUUCGGUAAGAUGAUUUAAAGCUACUCUCCCUAAACUAUGAAGGUAGUAUUUGUUUACCUUUUGAUGCUAUGUGUUAUUUUUACAAUAGUCACUACGUAUUUGAUAUCAUUAUAUCUUAAUGAUCAUAUUUUGACUCUUGCAAAAAAAAAAAUAUUUAUUAUUAAGCUUAUUACAUCGGAUGGACCUACUCAUCACGUUGUACAAAUUAUUGCCAUACUUUACUAGAUUUUGAUUUGAUUAAUGAAAUAUUUAUUAAGUAUACACAUGGUUAACAAUAGUAUUUUUUGACAUUUGUAGCAGUUAAUAUUUCUUUGGCCAGUAGUGUUAUGACGUUCGGUAAGAUGUAGGAAGAAUUAAGUAUUUCUUUAGCCUUUGAUGCUAUGUGCUAUAUUGGGAGUAGUUGUUACAUAUAUUUGGUCGCAUUAUGACCUAACGAUGAUAUUUUGACUCAUUUGAAGAAACUAUUGUUAAAUGCAUAGCAUAAGAUGAACCUACUCGUCACAUUGCACAAAUUAUUGCACAUCCUUUAUAUGAUUUUAAUUUGAUUAAUAAAAUUUUAUUGUAUCUCGUACUACAUGCAUGGACAACGAUAGUAUUUUACGGCAUCUGCUACUAUUAAUAUUUCUUCGACCAGCUGUGUUGCGGCAUUCAGUAAGGUGAAAGAGGAAUUAAAGUUAUUCUUUCUAAACUAUGAAGGUAUUGUUUCUUUAACCUUUGAUGUUGUGUAUUGCGUACAUAGGUAGUAUUCCUUACGUAUAUUUGGUAGCAUUAUAUCUUGAUAUAUAUAUAUAUAUAUAUAUAUAUAUAUAUAUAUACACACACACACACACACAUAUAUACACUCUUGUGAAAAACUAUUUAUCGGUUAACCAUGUUGUAACAAAUAAACCUACUCGUUACGUUCCACAAGUUAUUGCACAUUCUUUACAUGAUUUUAGUUUAAUUAAUAAAAUAUUUAGUAUAUCUUGUACUACACACAUGGUUAACAAUAGUAUUUUACAGUAUCUACAACAUUUAAUAUUUCUCUUUGUUUUGAUCGGGUGUUUGAAUAUAAUUUUUUGGUUAAUGUUUAUACAAUUUGAUGCUCACAUACUGGAAGGGAAUUUAGGUAAAUUGGGUCUGAAAAUUUGAAAAUAUGGAGACAUAAAUAUCGCUUUCACCGUAAUUUUCCUCAUACCUCCGAACGUAUUAUAAUAGUCUAGAAAUUUUGAUUCGUCAUAAAAAUGAGAUAACUACCUUUUUAUCAUCGAUUUCGAAUCAAAGCUGUUUUGACCGAUAAUGAGUGAAACAUAUGCAAUUUAUUUUUUAUUAAACAUAUUUCGUCUUAUAUGCAAUGUUAAUCCGUUUAGCCAAUUUAAAUUAUUUUAUACCUUCAUUGUUAAAUAUUUAUUUAACCUUCUUAUAGUGCAAGGAUGAACAGUCUUCAUCAUCUCAAGUAUGUAUCGUGAUGGAAAGCACUUUCUAAAAUAUUGUUAGUCGUGUAUCGAUUAUUUUUUUUAUUAGAUUGAUGUUCGAUCUCCAUGUCAAAUUGCUAUGGCCAAACAUUGCUUUCAGUAAUUAAAAGUGCUUUAAAUUUUGCCUUUGUUAUAAACAUAUCCUCAUUAUGAGAACGAAUUAUAGAAUUAUGAAAUUUUUACUCUGAUUCAAACUACAUGAAUUUAACUUUUCUUGAGUUCAAUAUGUAUGAUUACUUGCUUGGUUGACUGUAUGGGAGUAGAUUCCUUGGCAAAAUUUUGAGUUUGUUCAUACCUUAUGAUCCAAGACUCAGGAAUGAGUUUUGCGAGUUCAGCACGUGAAACUUUGUCCAAUGGAGUUGAGGACUAACACAUGGAUUGAAACAUAACUAGAGGUGUCAACAAGGAUUGUAACAAGAGGCCUCAGACUGUCGGACCCAGACGAAUAUCUAAGUGCUAAUUCUCAUAAAUCAACCUCAAUAUUAAUGCACUAAUAAUUUUGAAUUCCAAUUUAUUCAAAUUUUGAAUUCUGUUAAAAACUAAAAAUUAGUACGUGAUUUGUACAAAUGUGUUAAAAUAAUUUACGAUGCAGGUGAAGUUGGAUCAUCCUAGGGAAUGCAUAACCUGGGUUACUGGUUACAAGAGUUCCAACAGUGGUCAUUUAAUUUCGAUCACAUUUGGCACCAACUAUGAAACAUAUGGACCGUUUGGUCGGUUCACUGCCCACGAUAAAGAGGUUGCCUUCAAGCUAGGAGAUGACCGGCAGUUUGGUGGUUUUCACGGAACCGCAGACGAUAAUUGUGUGAGAUCAAUCGGAGUUUACCUUAAGCCGAUGACAAUCCUGGACUCUGGCCUGGGACGGACCCAGACCUAUAUUGCUGAUUGUUGAAAAUUUUAAAAAUAAAUUUUUUAAUAAAUAACAUAAUAUCAAUGAAAAUAAGUUUAUAUGUGUUUUGACACUUUGAAAACGUCGUAUAAUUAUAUCAUUACUAAUAUUAUUAAAUAAAUGUUGCUACUUGUAUA